GGGGAGAGGUCUAGCAGGUGUCAGAGGCCCCGCCCCCGCCGCCCACCUCCUCAGGAAUUGGCUGCGUCGGUCCUAGGGGGCGGUCCCAGGGACGGAAGGAAGUCGAGGGUCGCGGGCGCGGGCUGCGCGGGGUUGCAGUCGCACGUGGACAACGCGCACCGCGCUCGCGUGGGGCCCGGGGCGGAGUUCCCCGUCCCCUUCCCUUUCCUUCCACACCCGCACGCGCGCCCUUCCUUCGUGGCUUGCCCUCCCCCCGCCUCCUGGGUCUAGCCCCUUCACUGGAGUGUGGGGCAGGCAGGCCUCCGGGCUCGCGUGCGCUUGUCCGAGCAGUCCCGGGCGGUGGGCGAGGGCGUGACCCGGAGGGGAAGGGGCGGGGGCUGGGAGAAGCGAAGGCGGCUCCUUCCUCCGCUGCCCUUCCCUCCUCUUCCCUCCCCGCCCCCGCCUCUUAGGCCCUCCUUUCCUUUUUUCUGUUCUCCCCUCUGCUUCCGGCUUCUUUCGGCUCCAGCAGGUAGAGCCCUCUCGGGGCGCGCGGGGCCUCAGCAGCUGCUCCCGACCUCGCCUCGGCCCAGCGCAGGGCCUCGCGCGCCCAUGGCCGGCUCUGCCCGGCGGUGGGACGAUGGAGAUUCAGACGUGGCGGCGGCGCCGCUGCAGGACGCGGAGCUGACCCUGGCCGGCAUCAACAUGCUGCUCAACUAGGGCUUCAGGGAGUCGGACCAGCUUUUCCAACAAUACAGAAAUAACUGAAGUCAAAUCUUUGCGUGUUAAAAACACAGGACUGUGGAAUUGUUUCGUCUAGGUUUAAAACCUGAUGCAUCAUUAACUAGCUUUGUUAUGUGAGGUAGAUGACUUAUUCUCUUGUUGUAUGUGUUUUGUCAUCUUGGAUAAUAAUGACCUUUGUGUCAUAGGGUUAAAUGCAUUACAUACACAACAAACAUUUAGUACAUGCCAAUGCAUAGGUCGCACACGAUACACAUUAGUAGUUAUAAUUGUCUGAUUUUUACUACUUUUUUCUUUGCAUUAUUUUUCAAUCUGGCCGUCUCUAACACAAGAUCUUGGGACAAGGAUCCAGUCUCUAGAAUCUGACAGACUGACGUUUAUAUUUAAGUCUAUCUUUUACCAACUAGACUGUCAUUGAAACUCUGUCAGAGUCAGCUUGCUUAUGUAGCAGAGGGGCACAGUUCCGAAUUCACUGGAUUGUUUUGCCCAUGUGAACAUGCACAUGAAGUAAAUGCUUUUGGAGGUACCUAUUUUUAGGUCACAUAUCUUUUUACUGAGAUUUGCAUGGCGACUUUUACCCAAAGGACUGGACACUCAGCAUCUGUAUUUCUCUUUACUCUAUUUCUCUGAUUAUCAUUGAUUAAUUUGAACCAGAUAGAAUGUGGGAUUCUGAAGUGUUUGGCUGAGCUUUUAAGAUAGGGAUGUUGCAUUUGAGGAUAUCUUUGACAUGUUUGUCCUUAACUGUACCAAAGAAAUAACAGUUUCUCAGGACAGACAGCCAGAAAAGGAGGUAGAGGGGUGAACGUCCACCUAGACGAGGGAGAAGACACUCAGCAUGAAACAGAAAAGAUAGAGUGUUUUUUCUUGGGUUCCAGAUAACUUCCUUUUUUUUUUUUUUUCCCCAAUUCCAUGGCACAUCUUAGAUUAAUUCCAAUUGAUUUUUUGUAUUAAUCUUGUAUGUGAUAGGUUUUCUUCAUAUAGCCAAAAUAUCCCAGAUUAAGAUGACAAGUAACUAGACCAUCUGUGGUAUUUUUAGUGUAGCCUAUGUUGUCUCACACCAGUGAGCAUUAGCAGAUUGCAUACAUCCAUUUUGAAGACCACAUCUAUUAUGAAAUUUGGAAAUGAACCGAUAAUACCAGGGAAUGGAAAAAGCAGGGAUGGCAAAUCUUUGGUGUACCCUUGACAGACAUCACUAGUCAAUCACAGCUUCUUUCCCCUUGAAUACAGAGAAAGUCUUGGAUUGCUUUUCAUUAUGAUGUCAGGAAGGCACUUAAUUUCAUUAAGAGUAGUGUGGGAUGUGGUACGAGAAAUAAGUCAAAGCAAAUGGUUUAGGGCUAACCCUGGAAAUAACUUCCCACGUAUACGUUCCAUGUGAUAUGUGGUGCAAGUGUAGUGUCUUAAAGGAGAUGGAUAAGAUGAACAUAAAGGUUGCAAAAACAUGUUUUACAUUGUUCUUGUUUCUAUGGGACUAAGUGAGAUCUGAGUGAAAAGGCAAGUACGUGAAAGUAAAACAAGUCACAUCAUAUUUUAUUAGGGGUCAAGUAAAUUUAACAGAUAAUGAGAGCAAUAGAUGGAAGAGGUCCUUUGCCCCAAGGACUUGGGAGACUGGCCAGGGAUGAUAGAUUGGGGAGAGGGCAUUAUAAAGGUGUUCAUGGGCACCAGGGAGCAAGCCUAGUUGUUUGGAGCAGACAUUCUUACCAGAAAACAAUGGAAAAUAGAAUUGACUGACCAAACAGGAAAUAAGUUGUAGAAAUCAUUGAAUGCAUACUAAGAAAUGAGGCCAUCUGUAGGCAAUGAAGAACAUUAGAAGAAUUCAAAUAUGUACUUGUAGGUAACAGAACUGAGAGGGAUCCUAAGAGAUCAAUUGGCCAACCCACUUCCUUAAUGCAGGUGUGUUCAUAUUAUUUUACUUGAAAGGAGUAGCUGAUUCUUUAUGCUCAAAAGGGAAUUUCUCAUGAUAGUAAGGAGAGAUGAGAUGGCUUGGUUCUUGACUGAAGGUUAUAUGCUUAUAUUAGUAUAUUGUGGUUUAUUGUGUAUAUAAGUUCAGUAUACACUUAGAGCAGGGUUUCUCAUCCUCAGCACUUUUGCCAUUUCGGACUAGAUAAUUUUUUGAGGCAGGAGGAGUCUGAAUUAUAGGGUGUUUAGAAGCUUCCCCGGCCUCUAUCUCUAGAAUGCCGGUAGUACCUGUACUUGUAGUUGUGACAACCAAAAAUCCAUCCAGAUGUUGCUAAAUGUCCUCUGUGGGUUAAAACGUUUUUUUCAGACAUUACUAAAUGUCCUCUGUACAUUAAAAGUAUCCCUGGUGGAGAACCACUGACUUGGAGCAAGAGUUUCUGUUUAAACUUGAAAUAGAGAAAGCACUUGCAUAGAGUUUAAAACAGAAUAUUGACACAUAAUUAGGUAGUGGUUUGCAGGAUAAAUUAGAGAAGGUAGAAAUGAGAGCCAGUGAGAGUAUGUGGGAAUUUAUCUUUAUCUCUCUGUGCAUAUGAGAAUUUCAUACUCUUAUUUCCCUCCAUGUUUUUUUUUUUUUCUUAACAGAAAGCAAGGCAACUGUCAAAGACAAUGAAAUAAUCAUGUCAGUUUAGAAGUGAGUAGAUGGGUUUAUAAGCUAAAGCUCUGUGCCUCUGAUAGUAAUAGAGGCCCUGAUUGUAACAGAAUAGCAGUAGUUGUAAUGGUAUUAGAAGCAGCAUUAAUCGUGCACUCAUAAUAGUACUUCUCACAAGAACCUUUAGAAAUGUUUGCUACUAUAGUUAUCCCCAUCCUGUCGACGCAGAAGCUGAGGUUUAGUGCUCAUCCAUGGCAGUGGUUGGGAUUCCACCUCCUGUCUGUCUUGCUUCCAGCAGUCUCUAUUGCUUCAUCCUGAAAUAAGUUUUGCAUUGCAAAUGGUCGAUAAGAAAAGGCGAUCUGAAUGGUCACACUAUGUUGUUUAAGUUAUGCCAUCCUUCCUGAAAUCUCACACUCUUUAUUUAGAGAGGUGAACAGAAAUUGUUCCCCUUAAGAAUGGCAUAAGCUGGUACAGUACUUAGAGCCCCAUCUGCUUAUAGAAGAAGUUUUUAAAAGAAAUGUUUCAGGCUUACAUCAUUUGUUUCAUGCCCCAGACAUCGACUCAGCUAUUUCUCUAAGGAGCCAUAAUUCAUUUUAGUGAGAAAUAAUACUUAGAAAUAACAAUCUGAGUGGUUAGGAUGUUCAUUGCUACUGCACUGACCAUUGUUUUUAGUCUUAUUCCUUGGAGAGAGCUGAAAACUUUUCUUCCCUUUAAAAAAAAAAAAAAAAAAAAAAAAAAAA